UACAGAGGGGGCAAGCGUUGUUCGGAAUUACUGGGCGUAAAGGGCGCGUAGGCGGCCUGUUAAGUCGAACGUGAAAUCCCCGGGCUCAACCCGGGAACUGCGUCCGAUACUGGCAGGCUUGAAUCCGGGAGAGGGGUGCGGAAUUCCAGGUGUAGCGGUGAAAUGCGUAGAUAUCUGGAGGAACACCGGUGGCGAAGGCGGCAUCCUGGACCGGUAUUGACGCUGAGGCGCGAAAGCCAGGGGAGCAAACGGG
rnacentral:rRNA from 1 species